rnacentral:lncRNA from 1 species
GGUUUUUUAGACAAUUUAAUCAAAACAAAAACUUUCUGGACUAUUCUAGCAUUCUUCUUUUAUUGUUUUAGAAAAAUUAAAAAACAAAAAAAAAAAGUCACGCGCUUUUAUUUCCUCUUUUCAUCACCAAUCACCACAUCUCUGCCCUCAGCUUCAUAAGUCGCCCUUGUACUCUUCUCUUCCCCACCACCACCAUUUAAUAAAAAUAAUUUAAAAAAACAAAAAAUUCAUAUUAAACCCUUUUUUUAAAUCAUGCAAUUAAAAAUCCUCACUGUCUUCUCCUAAUUCAGUAAAACCCUAGAUAUACUCACACCACUACCCCCUUUAACCUUAGAAGAAAUACCCACCCUUCUUUUUCAACGGUGUCAUUUUUGUUUUAAGCUUUUUUUUUUUUUAGCGUUCUGUACAACGUAGGGUUCUGGUGGAGUUUCAAUCGUGAGAAGUCGAGGCGACGAGAAGCGAUUUUUAUAUUAUUUUUAUAUUAUAAUAUUUUAUUAUAUUUUAAAUAAUCCGAUCAACUUUUGGUUUCCUAUCUUUCAUCUUUGUUUGAAACCAAGCUGCUUUCUAUGUUUUUUACCAUCUUAUGUCAGAGCUAGUUGUUUACUAAUUUUGUUUGAUGCUUAAAUAUUCUAAAAUUGUUUACAUUUCAAAUUUCAACAAUGUUCCAUGAAAGAGGCUAAACAAUUCAUGAUUAACCUGUUUUGAAUCAAAGUUAAAAAAGUGGGAAAAACUCAAUUCCAAGGCCAAAUUCAAUGAAUGAUCUGAUUCAUUUUAUUUACGUUUGUGUAUAUAUAUAUAUUUACCUUUCUUGCUUUCCACGCACCCAAUUAUUUAAUUUUUAAACCAACAAAAAACAACUCUCAAUUGGACUGUAGUUUGAUUAAGGUAAGAGCUAAAAAGGAAAGACGUUUGUUUAUAGCCGCCAAGCAAAAUAUUGGGUCAGCUCAAAGAACCAACAAAAAUCUUGAUCCAAUUCUAAAAUUCAAAUAAUCUAAUCUAUCCGAAUAUAAAGCAACAUGUGAACUGAAGUGUUUUUACGCAAGAGAGGCGAAUGAAGUGAGAUUUUUUUUUUUUUUCGCUAAAAUUUAUUGAAGCAAUCUGAACAUAUUUAUGAUCAAACAGAUUUCGCCUUGAGAAGUAUAGGCUUCCGAGAAGAUUGGUAUACUCUAGCCCAAGCUAUUUCAAAAAAUGUUAGUAAAGAUGAUAUAUACAAAUAACAAUAUAAAAAAAUAACGUAAAAGGUUAGUAAGCAAAUAAUAUAUAUAAAGAAAAUAUAUAAAUUUACAAACUGAAUAAAUGUUUCGUUAUAUAUCUUAUUUAAAAUUUUCUAAUACAAGAGAAUGCAUGGCUUUAACUUAGGUUCAGACUUUUAAAGUUUAUUUACAUGUUAGGUUUAAAAGUUUGAUAGCUUAAUGGUUUUUAAAUUAUUUCUUACAUUAUUGUCUAUUAUAGACUAGUAAGACAUAUCAAUCCUUACCUAUUAUAAGUUAUAAGCGAAAAUGAUUCAAUUUGAAUAAGAAAUUUUUGCUAGCCCAUGCGAAGAUAUGAUAUCUCACAAAGACGCAGGUAUUUUACUCCUUCUUAAGGGACAGAACUCGGAUGUAUAGCUCAUGUUAUGCAUGUGUAAAUGAAUGACAGAUAUAUAAAAUGAAUAAAUAAAUAAAACAAAUAAAAUACAAACAAGAGAGAAAAAAAUCUUAAAUUUAUUAGGUUAAGCUUGGAUAACAAAAAAUCAUUUACUGGCUUGACUCUCGAUCUCUCCAAUGAAGUCGUCAAAUUGUCAUAACAUAUAGAUCCGUGA